ACAAAGACGCUAAAAAUAUAAAGUAGCGAGAGAUUAGGAGCGGCGUGGCCGGGAGGGCAGCACGCCCUUCCUCAGGGCAGGGAGGGGGUUGGAGUCUGGGCCUCUCCUGGCGGGCACCCACCCACAGAGCCACCGGGCUGGGCCUCACCUUUCCUUCCAGGAGGGUCCAGCACUGAGGAGACACAAAAUGAGGUUGUUUCACAACAGGCUGCUCUGCACAGUCAAAAAGAAAACAGAAUGAGCUCUGACCCUUCGACUGCCUCUGCCAAUCAGACUCACUCAAUACACCAGUCAUCAGCAUCAGAGAAGGAGAAAAAAUACUCAGGAACUCACACCUAUCCCAUCUGCCAGCAGGCAGCAGAGGACACAGGAAGGACAUGCAUGGAAUGAGUGCUGGCUGGGGUGGAUGCAGGGGCCAGAGGGAUGACCCGGAGGGCUCAGCAGAUCUCUUGGGAACACCUAGGGAACUUUCUUGUCCCACCACCUACAAAGCACUACUAAGUGCAGGACAUGCUUCUGGAUCACACUGAAACUCCCCGGAACUCCCUUUCCACUGACACAUGCAAGAAAGCCUCUUUCUUAUACCACUCAUACAAAUAAAACAACAGCACAGGAUAAAUCCUACUUUCUUUUUUACUCAAAUAAAUCCAACACAACACUGUUGGUUUCAGGAGGGGAGCUUACAUUUCUGCAUCUUCCCACUUCCAGAAGAAAAUUCUCUACUUAAGUAGGGAGCAGGGAAUACCAGAUGUGGCUGGAGUGAUGUGAUUAAUGAGUAGCUGAUGUGCAAUACCAUGAGAGGAAAAUUUGUGGAGGGACU